CCUACGGGUGGCAGCAGUGAGGAAUAUUGGUCAAUGGACGAGAGUCUGAACCAGCCAAGUAGCGUGAAGGAUGACUGCCCUAUGGGUUGUAAACUUCUUUUAUAUGGGAAUAAAAUGUUCCACGUGUGGGAUUUUGUAUGUACCAGAUGAAUAAGGAUCGGCUAACUCCGUGCCAGCAGCCGCGGUAAUACGGAGGAUCCGAGCGUUAUCCGGAUUUAUUGGGUUUAAAGGGAGCGUAGGUGGAUUUUUAAGUCAGUUGUGAAAGUUUGCGGCUCAACCGUAAAAUUGCAGUUGAAACUGGCAGUCUUGAGUACAGUAGAGGUGGGCGGAAUUCGUGGUGUAGCGGUGAAAUGCUUAGAUAUCACGAAGAACUCCGAUUGCGAAGGCAGUUCACUGGACUGCAACUGACACUGAGGCUCGAAAGUGUGGGUAUCAAACAGGAUUAGAUACCCCUGUAGUC
rnacentral:rRNA from 1 species